rnacentral:rRNA from 1 species
AUGGACAGACACGAUUUACUAAUCUACGAACAUUCACCGCUGCAAAUCCAUGGAUUCACGAGCUGUCAACAGAGACCUGUCAAAGUAGGCAACAUAAGCAUAUCCAUGAGGCGCAAUCGUGGCUUCAUAUCCUCGAGCUCUUCGAUCUCUGGUGCCAGACAAGAAGCUAAGCAAACGGGGUUCAUGUAUCUCACAGCAACGUCCGAUGAUGACGAUCGAUGGAUCCAAGGAGGUACAUAUCCUUUGCAUACGAAGAACAAGAGGCGUGCAACGUGCGUGUUGCAUAUACUGUUCUACUCCCUCUGUAAACUAAUACAAGAUCGUUUAGAUCAUCAUUCUGUCAUUUCAAAAUAUAUAUAUACCUCCAAGGGAGCUUGA